AUCGAAGGAGUGGCGAACGGGCGAGUAAUACAUAAGCAACCUACCCACGAAGACUGGGAUAAUCUCUGGAAACGGGGACUAAUACCGGAUAGGUAAUCGGAAGGCAUCUUCUGGUUAUUAAAGGUUAAAAACACUGGUGGAUGGGCUUAUGGCGCAUUAGUUAGUUGGUGAGGUAACGGCCCACCAAGACGAUGAUGCGUAGCCGGCCUGAGAGGGUGAACGGCCACAUUGGGACUGAGACACGGCCCAGACUCCUACGGGAGGCAGCAGGU
rnacentral:rRNA from 1 species